rnacentral:rRNA from 1 species
GACGAACGCUGGCGGCGUGCUUAACACAUGCAAGUCGAACGGAAAGGCCCUGCUUUUGUGGGGUGCUCGAGUGGCGAACGGGUGAGUAACACGUGAGUAACCUGCCCUUGACUUUGGGAUAACUUCAGGAAACUGGGGCUAAUACCGGAUAGGAGCUCCUGCUGCAUGGUGGGGGUUGGAAAGUUUCGGCGGUUGGGGAUGGACUCGCGGCUUAUCAGCUUGUUGGUGGGGUAGUGGCUUACCAAGGCUUUGACGGGUAGCCGGCCUGAGAGGGUGACCGGCCACAUUGGGACUGAGAUACGGCCCAGACUCCUACGGGAGGCAGCAGUGGGAAAUAUUGCACAAUGGGCGGAAGCCGGAUGCAGCAACGCCGCGUGCGGAAUGACGGCCUUCGGGUUGUAAACCGCUUUCGCCUGUGACGAAGCGUGAGUGACGGUAAUGGGUAAAGAAGCACCGGCUAACUACGUG